GAUGAACGCUGGCGGCGUGCCUAAUACAUGCAAGUCGAGCGAACAGACGAGGAUCUUGCUCCUCUGACGUUAGCGGCGGACGGGUGAGUAACACGUGGAUAACCUACCUAUAAUACUGGGAUAACUUCGGGAAACCGGAGCUAAUACCGGAUAAUAUAUUGAACCGCAUGGUUCAAUAGUGAAAGACGGUUUUGCUGUCACUUAUAGAUGGAUCCGCGCGGCAUUAGCUAGUUGGUAAGGUAACGGCUUACCAAGGCAACGAUGCGUAGCCGACCUGAGAGGCGGAUAGGCCACCCUGGAACGGAGCCACGGUCAAGACGCCUACGGGAGGCAGCAGUCGGGAAUCUUCCGCAAUGGGCGAAAGCCUGACAGAGCAACGCCGCGUGAGUGAUGAAGGUCUUCGGAUCGUAAAACUCUGUUAUUAGGGAAGAACAAAUGUGUAAGUAACUAUGCACGUCUUGACGGUAACUAAUCAGAAAGCCCCGGCUAACUACGUG
rnacentral:rRNA from 1 species